GGGGUUGUGGCUCAGUGGUGGAUCACUUGCCUAGAAUACAUGAGGCAUUGGGUUCGAUCCCCAGCACCACA
rnacentral:tRNA from 1 species